GAUUGGUUACCUUGUUACGACUUCACCCCAGUCAUGAAUCUCACCGUGGUAACCGCCCCCCUUACGGUUAGGCUAGCUACUUCUGGUGAAACCCACUCCCAUGGUGUGACGGGCGGUGUGUACAAGACCCGGGAACGUAUUCACCGCGGCAUUCUGAUCCGCGAUUACCAGCGAUUCCGACUUCACGUAGUCGAGUUGCAGACUACGAUCCGGACUACGAUCGGCUUUCUGGGAUUGGCUCCCCCUCGCGGGUUGGCAACCCUCUGUACCGACCAUUGUAUGACGUGUGAAGCCCUACCCAUAAGGGCCAUGAGGACUUGACGUCAUCCCCACCUUCCUCCGGCUUAUCACCGGCGGUUUCCUUAGAGUGCCCAACUUAAUGAUGGCAACUAAGGACGAGGGUUGCGCUCGUUGCGGGACUUAACCCAACAUCUCACGACACGAGCUGACGACAGCCAUGCAGCACCUGUGUUACGGUUCUCUUUCGAGCACGAAGCUAUCUCUAGCGACUUCCGUACAUGUCAAAGGUGGGUAAGGUUUUUCGCGUUGCAUCGAAUUAAUCCACAUCAUCCACCGCUUGUGCGGGUCCCCGUCAAUUCCUUUGAGUUUUAAUCUUGCGACCGUACUCCCAGGCGGCUGACUUCACGCGUUAGCUACGUUACU
rnacentral:rRNA from 1 species